GGCAAGGUCAACAUCUGCUGUAAGAAACAGU
rnacentral:piRNA from 1 species